AAAAACUUAGUUAAAAUAAUAACAUUAGUUUGUCACUCUAAAAUCAUUAAGUAAUUAAUAGUUUUUA
rnacentral:tRNA from 1 species